rnacentral:rRNA from 1 species
GGGUGAAUAUUAGGGCAAUGGGCGAAAGCCUGACCCAGCAACGCCGCGUGAGGGAAGAAGGAAACGAAUUGUAAACCUCUGUCCUUGGGGACGAAAAAAAUGACGGUACCCAAGGAGGAAGCCCCGGCUAACUACGUGCCAGCAGCCGCGGUAAUACGUAGGGGGCAAGCGUUGUCCGGAAUUACUGGGCGUAAAGGGUGCGUAGGCGGUUGUUUAAGUCAGAUGUGAAAUCCCCGGGCUUAACUCGGGUGGUGCAUUUGAAACUGGGUGGCUAGAGUGCAGGAGAGGGAAGCGGAAUUCCUAGUGUAGCGGUGAAAUGCGUAGAUAUUAGGAGGAACACCAGUGGCGAAGGCGGCUUUCUGGACUGUAACUGACGCUGAGGCACGAAAGCGUGGGGAGCAAACAGGAUUAGAUACCCUGGUAGUCCACGCUGUAAACGAUGGAUACUAGGUGUAGGGGGCGUAGAGCCCUCUGUGCCGCAGCUAACGCAAUAAGUAUCCCGCCUGGGGAGUACGGCCGCCAGGUUGAAACUCAAAGGAAUUGACGUUGGCCCGCACAAGCAGCGGAACAUGUGGUUUAAUUCGAAGCAACGCGAAGAAC